GGAGGCCACCCUGGCACCGGAGCCCAAGAAGAAGAGGAGGAAGAUGACGACGGGCGACGCGGAGCAGCCGGCAACGCCCACUCCUGCUCGGGCUGAGACCCGGUUGCCUGAGGGCUGGCGGACAGCCCUCACCGGGGAAGAGCAGGAGUGGAUCGGCCGGGCGCUGUUUCAGCAGACCAGCGGGGGGUCCCUCAAGCUCACCACGGACCUCAAGCUGUGGUGGGACCCCCCCCAGCCCCGGCUGAACUAUUCUCAGCCACCCGCCUCGGCGGCUACCUUCUUCGCGUGUCGGUUGUUCCUCUGGGCGCCCCUGCACAUGUGGGGUCCCCGGCCGACAUGCUGCGAGAAGCAUCUCACCAAGUGUGGGAUGUACAAGACCAUCCGGAAGGUCUUGGACAUCGACGGCUGGUACUUGAUGGCCACCGAGUACCUGGAGUGCCGUCGGUGUCGGAGGAAGGUAGCCGCCUGGUCGCAGGAGGUCGUGAGGCAGCUGGGAGAGGGGCAUCGCGCCCCUCUUCCCGGUGAUCCUCACCUACAAGUAAGUAGCUGUCUGAAAACUGUCGGUGUGUCUGCGUGUGGCUCUUCUGUAACACGUGCGCUCCCCUGUAGGCUUGCCUGCGACCGGCGGGUCAUCAUCCAGCUGCGUGAGCGUACUCGGGGGAACAGCGCCACGCAGCUGCAAAAAAAACUCGGUGAGGCACACACAGAGGCCUGGAUGCGGCGGUCCAUACACUACCUCAGCGUCAUGGAGCCCUUCACGUCGACGGGUGUCGUGUGCCAGUGCACCCCACCGCCGAAACCAUCGCCAGACGUGCCGCAGUACGGCUGGCUGUUGGUGGUGUACUGCCACGACAUCCUGUCUCGCCUGGAGGACGUGAAGGCCCGGGGUCACCUCAGUCUUCGGAUCCAUCCUAAAGAUGGAUUCGACCAAGAAGGUGACCCGGAAGCUCGCCGGUGCCGCCGCCCAUACCGCAGCCUGGGCGACCAACGUGGGCAACGAGCACGGGCAGGUGCUAAUGUCCGUGCUCACGGCCACCGGUGGCCUGUUGCCCAUGGCUGCGGGGUUAAUGAGGCGGUACCGGGACGCUGGGGUAGCGCAGCCUCGCGUCCUCUAUGUCGACCGGGACUGCUGUUCGUCCCACGGGGGGGUCCAAGGCAGCUGCUGCGUUCCAGGAGUGGGACAAGCUGGUGGUCCGGUUGGACAUUUUGCACUUCUGGUGUCACAACCGAGAGCCACCAGCUGUACAAGCCCUUCCUGCAGCAGCUGUCUGCCAGUAUCUUCCUGUGGGACCCAGAGGACACAGCCCGGUUGCUCAACGCCAAGAGGAGGACGCUAGAGGCGCAGGGGAUGACCUUCUCGUCCGACGCCGGAGUGUGGAGGCACGUCAGCACGGACACGGAGACAGGCAGGCUGACCAAGGGGGGGGAUCAGCCUGCCGACGUACUGUUGUGCGCGCGGCUCCACGUCCCUGGAGUCGUUCCAUCUCCACCUCAACCGCUUCAUUCCAGGAGAAAGUGCCAACCCUUGGCUCUUCCAGGCUUUUCUCCUGGAGGGGUUGGUGAGAUGGAACGAGGACAGGGCGGCGUCCGCGGCACAGGAGGGUCGUCCGCUGCUCCGCACCUACAGUGGCCCCCUGCAGCACUCCCUUGACCAGCUCAGCCAACGGGUGCUUGGCUCGAGUUUGGUCAGGGACUACACCAAGCCCAGGGAGUACAUCGGGUAAGAACGACACGUACACGUGUCCGCGCCGAGCGAGUACCUGUACUCCCAGACGUCAGCUUG
ensembl:lncRNA